rnacentral:rRNA from 1 species
ACGUUUCGAAAGGAACGCUAAUACCGCAUACGUCCUACGGGAGAAAGCAGGGGACCUUCGGGCCUUGCGCUAUCAGAUGAGCCUAGGUCGGAUUAGCUAGUUGGUCGAGUGUAAUGGCUCACCAAGGCGACGAUCCGUAACUGGUCUGAGAGGAUGAUCAGUCACACUGGAACUGAGACACGGUCCAGACUCCUACGGGAGGCAGCAGUGGGGAAUAUUGGACAAUGGGCGAAAGCCUGAUCCAGCCAUGCCGCGUGUGUGAAGAAGGUCUUCGGAUUGUAAAGCACUUUAAGUUGGGAGGAAGGGCAGUAAGUUAAUACCUUGCUGUUUUGACGUUACUGACAGAAUAAGCACCGGCUAACUCUGUGCCAGCAGCCGCGGUAAUACAGAGGGUGCAAGCGUUAAUCGGAAUUACUGGGCGUAAAGCGUGUGUAGGUGGUUCGUUAAGUUGGAUGUGAAAGCCCCGGGCUCAACCUGGGAACUGCAUCCAAAACUGGCGAGCUAGAGUACGGUAGAGGGUGGUGGAAUUUCCUGUGUAGCGGUGAAAUGCGUAGAUAUAGGAAGGAACACCAGUG